UGUGUCUUUGGGCUGGCGGCAUACCAGGGCAGGGAGGAGGACGGUUCGCGGCAGUAUAUCUUGGCACUGACAACAGGAACUGAUUUGGCUUGACUGUAGAGGGAGGUCCUGCGACACUUCUACAACCUCUGUCUGAGAACACGAGUACGUGAUCACUCCCUUACCCAGCCAUGGCCACCUGGUUCUGUUUUAACGUCGAGCACCUCAGUUAGCCAUUUGCUCUGUCAGCUGGGGUAAUACUUUAACGACCACAGUCAAGAUAAUAGACAUAUCUAAAACCUCCCAAAGUUUCCUGGUGUCCCUCUAUUUGUUCUAUGUUUUCCUAGAAGCAGACCAUCACAUGAGGAUUCAUGUGCAAGUGAUUUGUUAAGAAAGUCCUCCUGGGGGAAACCAGUAAGAGAAUGUGGAAAGCAGGACAGAAAAGAGAAGCCAGCCAAGCAAGAAUGAAUAUCAUGCUAACUUCAUCCUGUGUCCAUAGGGGAAUUCUGGAAUAAUUGUGCAAAAUAGAGUUUAUCAGAAUUCCUGUGUUUGUAGGGCCCAUACGCUAAAAUAAUGAGUGUUCUAUGCAAGAAGAUACCUGUUUUAUGCAUCCUGGUGUAUUAUAAGAUUCUUGCCCUUUUCAGAAGCAUCUACAGUGUCUCACAGAGACUUGCAGUUGUUACAGCAAGACUACAAAGAGAACUAAGAAUUAUAGGGGUCCAGUGGCUACUAUGGCAUAAAAAUUAUUUUAAACUGAAGGCAUUUGAAUUCUUGAAAUCCCUUACCUUCCCCAAAACAAAGAUUCUCCAAAGAACU